rnacentral:rRNA from 1 species
AUGUGUAGGAUAGGUGGGAGGCUUUGAAGCGUGGACGCCAGUCUGCGUGGAGCCAACCUUGAAAUACCACCCUUUAAUGUUUGAUGUUCUAACGUAGGCCCCUUAUCGGGGUUGCGGACAGUGUCUGGUGGGUAGUUUGACUGGGGCGGUCUCCUCCCAAAGAGUAACGGAGGAGCACGAAGGUUAGCUAAUCCUGGUCGGACAUCA